rnacentral:rRNA from 1 species
AGAGUUUGAUCAUGGCUCAGAACGAACGCUGGCGGCAGGCUUAACACAUGCAAGUCGAACGCAUCCUUCGGGGUGAGUGGCAGACGGGUGAGUAACGCGUGGGAACGUGCCCUUCAGUUCGGAAUAACCCAGGGAAACUUGGGCUAAUACCGGAUACGUGCGAGAGCAGAAAGAUUUAUCGCUGAAGGAUCGGCCCGCGUCUGAUUAGCUAGUUGGUGGGGUAAUGGCCCACCAAGGCGACGAUCAGUAGCUGGUCUGAGAGGAUGAUCAGCCACAUUGGGACUGAGACACGGCCCAAACUCCUACGGGAGGCAGCAGUGGGGAAUAUUGGACAAUGGGCGCAAGCCUGAUCCAGCCAUGCCGCGUGAGUGAUGAAGGCCUUAGGGUUGUAAAGCUCUUUCGUCCGGGACGAUAAUGACGGUACCGGGAAGAAGAAGCCCCGGCUAACUUCGUGCCAGCAGCCGCGGUAAUACGAAGGGGGCUAGCGUUGUUCGGAAUCACUGGGCGUAAAGGGCGCGUAGGCGGCUUUGUAAGUCGGGGGUGAAAGCCUGUGGCUCAACCACAGAAUUGCCUUCGAUACUGCAUGGCUUGAGACCGGAAGAGGUAAGUGGAACUGCGAGUGUAGAGGUGAAAUUCGUAGAUAUUCGCAAGAACACCAGUGGCGAAGGCGGCUUACUGGUCCGGUUCUGACGCUGAGGCGCGAAAGCGUGGGGAGCAAACAGGAUUAGAUACCCUAGUAGUCC